UUGGCGGACGGGUGAGUAACGCGUGGAAAACCUGCCGUAUACUGGGGGAUAACACUUAGAAAUAGGUGCUAAUACCGCAUAAGCGCACAGCUUCGCAUGAAGCGGUGUGAAAAACUCUGGUGGUAUACGAUGGUUCCGCGUCUGAUUAGCUAGUUGGUGGGGUAAUGGCCUACCAAGGCAACGAUCAGUAGCCGGCCUGAGAGGGUGAACGGCCACAUUGGAACUGAGACACGGCCCAAACUCCUACGGAAGGCAGCAG
rnacentral:rRNA from 1 species